UACGAAGGGGGCUAGCGUUGCUCGGAAUCACUGGGCGUAAAGCGCGCGUAGGCGGCUUACUAAGUCAGGGGUGAAAUCCUGGAGCUCAACUCCAGAACUGCCUUUGAUACUGGUGAGCUUGAGUCCGGAAGAGGUGAGUGGAACUGCGAGUGUAGAGGUGAAAUUCGUAGAUAUUCGCAAGAACACCAGUGGCGAAGGCGGCUCACUGGUCCGGUACUGACGCUGAGGUGCGAAAGCGUGGGGAGCAAACAGG
rnacentral:rRNA from 1 species